ACACAGGGAUGCAUAAGGGAAAAAGACCCAAUUCUCAUUUUUUCACACCUUAAAUUCCUGCUGCAGCGGAGCACGGGGGGAACGUGCAAGCAGGGCAUCCAGCUCUCCCUGUUUUCCCAGUUAAGCAUCUAAAGCUCUGACCCUAAGGAAUGCAGGAGCAGGGGAGCUCCUCCCUCUGCAUCUCCUGGAGCUGUGCCUGGGCCAGGAACCAGGUCCGGCUCAGUGAGGCUCCAUCGGCUCCUGGCAGGGGACACCCGAAAUCCCAGGGUGGGGACUGGCAGGAAAUUUCCGUCUGCUCCACGAGCUCCUUUCCCGGCUCUGCACAGCGGCUCCACAUGGUUUCGUUUUCCUCGCAGCACCAAUAAAUCUUUAACGCAGCGUUCCACGAACCCUCCCCAGAGGAUGAAGCACAGAGUGAUCCGGGGGGGCUGUCUGGGCUCGGUGGCCCAGCACAUGGUGUGUGCUGUGAACACGGACCCCCAAGCUCUUUGCAGUGAAGGGAGGAUGAAAUUUAUAUCAUCCCAGUGAACUGAUCCUCUUAUCUGCAUUGUCUGCUCAGCAUCUAAUGAACUAAUGAAAUAUGCAACAAUUCAGCUCUAGAACAGACCUCGCUUUUAAAUUAGCACUAAUUAGAGAUAAUUAUCUUGGCUGGUUUGAUGUUUCUGUGUAAUGAGCUUGGGUUUUCUUUUAUUGGGAAUUGGUGUGGUCAAACAUACGAAGCGACACACUGGA